GCUUGUCAGUGAUGAGACCACGGAUACUGCGUCAGGCAUGGCGCCCGAUACUUAUGAGGAAUUAUUCCAGCUGCCUUCCUUCUGAGACUACA